UUCCUAUCGGGAAAACCGAUCGUGUGUACAAGGCAUUACACUCGGCUCUCUACUGUGCAGUGUGUGACAUCAGAUCCCUGCAAUAUGCCCCCCAGAAAUACCAUCUGAUCUGUGUACUGUGGAGGGCUCUAAAGGAGAAAGGGCUGCAGGUAAACAAUUACAGCUAAUUUGAGAGGAUUUUCUUUAUCGCUAUGUAUCAUAUUAGAAUCGUUAUUGCACAGGGAGGAAGCCAUAACAAACAGAUCGAAUAACUAGAAUAGCAGAGCAAAAAAACUAAACUGCAAUGCCAAUACAUAAAAAGUGCAACAAAAGGAGCAUAUGCACAGCCACUUAUCCACAGGCCAGCAAUAGAACUCAGUCAAUCACAAAGGAAGACAGCCUUGGGGUAUAGCAGCACUUGUGUGCCAGAUAUCUGCACUCAUUGCCGCUAUAAAUAUAUAUAUAUAUAUUUUUAAUUCUUUAUUUUCAUCACAAGGCAACGAUACAGAAAAUGUAUAGCAUGAAAUCAGAGUUAACAACAUGUACAACCAAGAGUUCAACAAAGGGGAACCAUGUUCCCACAUAUCUUUGUGCAAUUUGUUCACUGAGAAACAAGUGUGCAAACCGGAAAGAUUUAUUAACAUGUUAAAAUUGAACCCAAUCUAGGACAGUCAGCACUUUCCAGAUUGACGCACAAUAAUAAUGGAUUGGGGGUUAUGCAAUCUAUUGGCUUCCAAUUUUAGUUAAGCCAAUGACCAUUGUCAUGGCGUGCUCUUUUAUAUUGUUCUUUUUCCCUGGUUUGCAAAUAUACAGCAUAAAUGUGGUUAAAGCAGAACUCCCCUGAAAUCAAAGUUUAUUUUGCUCAAGUACAACUAAAGAACCAGCAUUAAAUGUAAACACCAGGUAAACUGAUGAGUUUAAUCACAAACCUGAAGAGUUUUAUUUGCCAGUAGCCUUGCAAAUAAUGUGAAACUGCAUAGUUUUGUGAACCACCCUUACCUGUUGCGUUGUAUUGCUCCAUGGCAAAAGUAGUUUUACUACAGGCUGCAGCCUAAAAUGAAAAUGCACUUCCUCCUGCCUGCACUACGUGUUACUCGAAGACAUCACUUGACAUCACUUGUGAUGGCCACCCUUAGCCCUUUCCAUCCCAAAGCCACCAAAGUGCCUCACCUUUCUGUACCCUAAGGCUUUGAUCCAGCCACUUCCAUUGCAGGAACAACUGUACAGUAUACGGACAGCUUUUUUAUAGGAAAUUAAACUAACUGAAAAAGGAUGCCAAUUUUAUAGAUUUAUAUAACACCAAAGAUACAGGCAGCAGAUCUAGAGGACAGGGCGGUGGAGGUGCUAUGAGUGUAUAUUUUGUCAAGCAAAUUACUAAAUAAUUAUUAUGGAUAGAGGUUUGCCUUAAAUACGAUGCCAUACCAUGUGUGUUUCUAUAUAUUGUUCUGAUUUAUAUAUAUCUUUGAUGUAAAGCAGUUUCUGUCCACCAGAAUGGUAUACAUGCCUUUCAUUUACAGCACUGGGCUGAAAUAGUGUUUUUGAACUCUGAUCAUCUUCAUCCUACAACUGUAUAGGCCAUUUCUCUAGCACAACUACAGUUCCCAUUCCUCUUGCCAUGCUAUUCCCCUCUCCUCUUCUGGGAGUAUGUAAAAACUGUCUUUGCUGACCCAGCUCCUCUGCUCUUCACCAUCCUACAGCUGUAUAGGCCGGGCAUUGUAAGCUCCCUUUUUAUCAGAGGUGGUGGUAUUCACACUAGGAGUCUUUUUCACUUGAGGUACUGGAGAUCUGAAUGAACUUUUAAAGAAAAUUGCUUUAAUAUUUUUUCACCAUUUCAUGAGGACUCUUUUCAUUAUAUCGCAUUUUUUAAAUAAUUUAUAUGUAGCGUGACUUUGUUGAUUUAUACAGGGAUGUUCAGGAAGAUGAUCACAUUGAUUUAGCACACUGGUUACUGGGGCACAGAGAAAUGGACACGUUUAUGGACAUUUUUGAAAUUUUUAUAUGUUGCGCUGCACCAUUGUUAUAAUUACUCGCGGGCAUCAAAUUGCAUAGUACCGCAGUAUAAUGCGGUUUGGUGCACAUUUUUAAAAGUAGUGCAAGCACUACGUUUUGUGCAGUCUAGUGCAUUUUGCAACCCAUUCCAAUAAUUGGCCUGUCAAAACGCACCAUGUGCGAAAAGCAUAAAAAAGCACAUGGAAACCUGUGUGUUCCUGUGCAUUCCUGGUGUUACCUACCCUUAAAGAACUACCCUUGUAAUCUUGUAAUUGUGACUGUGAUUCUGUAAAGGGACAUGUAUCACUUUUGUGCUUUUAAAACAGCUGCAGAAAAGGUCAUAAAAGAAUUGCAGUAAAGCUGGAAAUCCCCAUCUAUGA